rnacentral:miRNA from 1 species
UUCUAUAUCUAAUUUGUCACUAGCAGGACUUCCUGUUUAUUUCUUUGCUGCUGUUUGCAAAAUAAAGAAAUAAAUAGGAAGUCCUGCUAGUGACAAAUUAUAUAUAGAA